rnacentral:rRNA from 1 species
UUCAACGGCCGCGGUAUCCUAACCGUGCAAAGGUAGCGCAAUCAAUUGUCCCAUAAAUCGAGACUAGUAUGAAUGGCUAAACGAGGUCUUAACUGUCUCUUACAGGCAAUCGGUGAAAUUGAUCUCCCUGUACAAAAGCAGGGAUAAACCCAUAAGACGAGAAGACCCUGUGGAACUUCAAAACCAGCAACCACCUUAAAACACACAUCCACCUACUAGGCUCACUGACAUACAAGUCCCUGGUCUGCGUUUUUCGGUUGGGGCGACCUUGGAGCAAAACAAAACCUCCAAAAAUUAGACCAAACCUCUAGACUGAGAGCAACCCCUCAACGUGCUAAUAGCACCCAGACCCAAUAUAAUUGAUCAAUGGACCAAGCUACCCCAGGGAUAACAGCGCAAUCUCCUCCGAGAGUCCGUAUCGACGAGGAGGUUUACGACCUCGAUGUUGGAUCAGGACAUCCUAGUGGUGCAGCCGCUACUAA